rnacentral:other from 4 species
UGGGGUCUUGUGGUUGGCAAAUAAGUUUCGCCCUACAAGUCAUAUUUAGGAAGUGAUCCCUGGUUAUGGUGUGCAAGCUCAUGGCGAGGACCGAAAGGUUUUCAGUCGAGUGAGAAGCCUAAAGUAACUAAAUAUCGCUACCACCUGUCUAACGAUGGGCCGAAUCCUAAAGACGCCGACUCAGACCCUUU